CGAGGGGCGCGGCCGGCAGCCUGGGGGGACGGCUCCGCGAGCCGCGCGGGCUUCCCGGGGAGGCUUCGCUCUUUCGUAACAGCGAGAAAGCAGCCGGGCCGAUCUUUGUUCUUUUGAGACAAAGCCCCUGAACUUGGGUCCUGGCUUUGUUCAGGUAACAGGGCUGCUUUAGAGGAGGCGUGUGCCGAGUGAGGGCUUCACAGUGAGGCUGCUGUUUCAAAGGCUGUGAUUUCAAUCGCACUGCACCCAAGGUUUCUGGCCUUGGAUGGAAACUAGCUGUCAAUAAUUUCGCUGAAAUUUCGCAAAGGGAAAGGUCUAGAUCUAACGUCACAGCUAUCUUGCUACAACCCUGAGGAUGAAACCAGAACUGGAGAUGGCAGAACAGAGAGGUGGAAGCAAGCUGGAUCCCUGGUGACAUUACAGAGCCACUGUCCCUUUGUCCUAAGCUGACAGUCCACAUCAG